rnacentral:lncRNA from 1 species
UGCAGUUCCAAGCCUACACGAAGGUUGAAUCUAAAUUUUGAAGAUUUGAUCUCUAUUCCACUAUAAUUCAGAUAAAGAUUUGAUCUUUAUUUAGUUAAAUAUAUAGAAAAUUUUUAGAUGCAAUCUUGAUUAUCCACAAAAAAUAGAUUUCUUUCCCAUCAACUAUAAUGCAUGGAUAAUUGAAUAAUAAAAUUUAUGUUGUAUCACGACCUAAUGUAAUGUACACAUCAAGAAAAUACCCUAGGAU